AACUAACGCUGGCGGCGCGCCUAACACAUGCAAGUCAACGGGAACAUCCGUAGCAAUAUGGGGUUUUAGUGGCGACGGGUGAGUAACGCGUGAGGAACCUGCCUUUCGAGGGGAAUAACACAUCGAAAGAUGUGCUAAUACCGCAUAAUGUCAUCGGGUGGCAUCGCCUGAUGACCAAAAGAGCAAUCUGCCGAAAGACUGGCCUCGCGUCCGAUUAGAUACGUUGGUGAGGUAACGGCCCACCAAGUCUGCGAUCGGUAGCCGGACUGAGAGGACGACCAGCCACACUGGGACUGAGACACGGCCCAGACUCCUACGGGAGGCAGCAGUGGGGAAUUUUGGACAAUGGGCGCAAGCCUGAUCCAGCAAUGCCGCGUGCAGGAAGAAGGCCUUCGGGUUGUAAACUGCUUUUGUCAGGGAAGAAAUCUUCUGGGCUAAUACCCCGGGAGGAUGACGGUACCUGAAGAAUAAGCACCGGCUAACUACGUG
rnacentral:rRNA from 1 species